rnacentral:rRNA from 1 species
AUUGAACGCUGGCGGCAGGCCUAACACAUGCAAGUCGAGCGGACGAAGGGAGCUUUCUCCUGGCUUCAGCGGCGGACGGGUGAGUAAUGCCUAGGAAUCUGCCUGGUAGUUGGGGAUAACGUCCGGACACGGGCGCUAAUACCGCAUACGUCCUGAGGGAGAAAGUGGGGGAUCUUCGGACCUCACGCUAUCAGAUGAGCCUAGGUCGGAUUAGCUAGUUGGUGGGGUAAAGGCCUACCAAGGCGACGAUCCGUAACUGGUCUGAGAGGAUGAUCAGUCACACUGGAACUGAGACACGGUCCAGACUCCUACGGGAGGCAGCAGUGGGGAAUAUUGGACAAUGGGCGAAAGCCUGAUCCAGCCAUGCCGCGUGUGUGAAGAAGGUCUUCGGAUUGUAAAGCACUUUAAGUUGGGAGGAAGGGCAGUAAGUUAAUACCUUGCUGUUUUGACGUUACCAACAGAAUAAGCCCCGGCUAACUUCGUG